rnacentral:rRNA from 1 species
UACGUAGGGAGCAAGCGUUGUCCGGAAUCAUUGGGCGUAAAGCGCGCGUAGGUGGCCACAUAAGUCCGUUGUGAAAGUCAAAGGCUCAACCUUUGAAAGCCGAUGGAUACUGUGUGGCUAGAGUACGGAAGAGGCGAGUGGAAUUCCCGGUGUAGCAGUGAAAUGCGUAGAGAUCGGGAGGAACAUCAGUUGCGAAGGCGGCCCUCUGGACCAGCACUGACACUGAGGCACGAAAGCGUGGGGAGCAAACAGG